CAUAGUUAUCAUUUGACUUAGAGAUACUCAGUAAACAUUAUGAAUUUAGAGAUCAGUAAUGUUCAUUUUGAAAAAGACAUAUACUUGAUAAAAUUGCUUCUUGUACUUGUGAUGGUACUGUGGUUAAGAGUCUUGUGCUGUAAUGAUCUCAGUUAAAAAUAGUAAAAUGAAUCUCUUCAGUAUUGUGGUGGACUCUGCACAGUUAAUGCAACAGGAGUCAGGGUCACCUGCCCAUAUAGCUUUGUUUGUAUCAGCCAGUCGAAAUGUCAAGAUGGUUCCUUAUCCACUGGAUAAUUUCACAAUCCUCCUCUUAAUUUGGUUGCUUUGGACACAUUCUAUCCUGGAAACAAAAUCUAGGUUUCAUAAUACAUUCGGAAAUAAUAGAUUCAUGUUCUUUUUUUCCAGCUGGUACUGGUAGAGUUUACACAUUUACUCCUGCACCAUAGGAACAGCUGCUUAAAAAGCUGAAGUGUGUAUUUGAUUCCAUUACAUUGGCACAAUAGAAAGUCACGUAAAAGAUGGAGACUCUCAGUUUCUCCAUAUUUGGAAAAUUAAUUCCUUUAAGUGCGUUAAAAAAAUCUCUACAGGUGGUCACAUUCUAUGAACUUAGGACCAGAAAUGACCUCAUCACCUUCAGCUGGUCUAAAAGUUGUCUUUGGCUGCUGCACGCUUCACAAAAUCUUGUUAAUUAUGAUUGUUUUUCCUAGUUAUAAGUCCUUCUGGAUAAGUUUUUAUAAAGCAUUUAUUUUUAUCACUUACAUAACUACAUAAAAUAUUUUCAUUGGUGUCAAAAUGUCAUGUUAUUGCCAAACACAUUCCAUUUCAAUUUCUAGAAAUUAUUGGAAAGUUAAUACCCACACUUUAAUGGCACCCUUGCUGUAGUAUUAAAUCAUGCUUUACUGAAAUUCACAAGAAUCAUAAUUACACUGCAUUUAUCCAGAAUAAAGCACUAGAACAGUUACUUUUUGACCAUCUUGUCCGUUAAUUACUAUGCAUGCACUUUCUCUUUAGACAAACAAUAAACGAAAUUUAGUGUCUUUCUAGAACUGAGUUUUCAUGAAAGUGAUUGUCGUAUAUAUACUCAUCAUCUACUUCUCUUUUCAGCACAGUAAUAUUUUAGUUCAAGAAUCGGUAAGUGAAUCUUUUCCCUGGCUUAUAGAACUUCACCCUAUUUAUUUCUAUUUCAAGAAAAGUAAAAAAUAUUUUAAAAAGUAAAAUUAGGCAAGAAAGCUGUCUUGCUAGCUAGGCAUUUGGUUUCUCCUUAGAUUUGUUAUUUAAGAAAACUCAGUCUCCCUAGACAUCAUUUCAAGAAUAUAAUUGUUUAGCUGCAAAGCUAUAGUUUUGGGUAGAAAAUUCCCUUUGAGGGUUGCACAUUGAACCCAUAUUUAGAGAACCUGAGAAAUGAGCUUUCAGCAGUCAUCACAUUUACUCUUCUCCCCACAGCCUGGGGUGUCUGGAAGAACAUCCUCCACCAGGAACGCUGGAGGAUAACUAUAGGGCUGAGUCUGAUCCAGUUUGCCAGAAUAGGUCCAUCACCCUGAGGCCCUUUUUUGCCCAGGUCCUGCAUAUUCCAUGCUAUGGACUGAAUUACGUCCCUGUAAAAUUCGUAUUUUGAAGCCUUAACCCCCAAUGUCAUGGUAUUUGGAGAUGGGGUCUUUGGGAGAUAAUUAAGUUUAGAUGAGGUCAUGAGGCCAUGGCCUUACGAUGGGAUUAGUACUGUUAAAAGAAGUGGCACCAGAGAGCUUGCUGUGUGUCUCUUUUUCUGCCAUUGUGAGGACACAGGGAGAAGGCGGCCAUCUGCAAGCCGGAAAGAGGGAUCUAGCUCCAACCAUGCUGGUGCAUGAAGACUUCUGGCCUCCAUAACUGUGGAAAUAAAUGUCUGUUGUUGAGCCACUCAGUCUAUGGUAUUUUGUUAUUGCAGCAUGAGCUGAGGAUUGGAAUUGGCCCCCAACCUAACAAUGGUUCGGCUUAUGCUUUUUUGACUUUAUGAUGGUGCAAAAGUGAAAAGCAUUCAGUAGAAACUCUAAUUGGAGUGCCCAUACAGUCAUCCUGGUUUUUACUUUCAGUAUAGUAUUCAAAAAAUUGCAUGAGAUAUUCCACACCUUAUAAAAUAGGCUUUGUGUUAGGUAGUGUUGCCCAUCUGUAGGCUGAUGUAAGUAUUCUGAGCAUGUUUCAAGAAGGUUAGGCUAAGCCACGAUAUUCUGUAGAUUCGGUGUAUUAAAUGCAUUUUAAACUUAAGAUAUUUUCAAUUUAUGAUUAGUUUAUUGCGACAUAACCCCAUCACAAGUCAGGGUGUAUCUGUCCAUCCCCCAAGGACAAGAGACUUGGAGCCUGAGCACACAGGGAUGGUGCAAACUCGGAUGUUGAUCCAGGCAGUUCAGGAACACAUGUUUUAAAAUUGGAAUUGUUGCCUCAAUUUUCUCUUUCAGUGUGUAAAUAGAACCUCCAAAUAAGAUUAAAUUGAAGAGAAAGUAUUAAAGGGCAAUAUUCCAGUGGAAUCCAUGAACAGUUUGCUUGCACUGACUUGCUAAGGAAGGAAAAUUUUUAAAGUAGUCGUUAUUCUUAAGAAAGUUAAAUUUAUAGUUUAAGUUAUGGUAUAUUUUGUACUGGGCACUGUGCCUUCCUCAUAAUAUUCUUAUUAAAUAUUUGUUGAUUUAAGAUUUUUUUUACUUCAUCACAUGUAUUUAGCAAAGAGUAAAUUCUUGUAAAAGAAUUUUAUCAUAUCCUUGUGACAAAGCAUACUCCGUGCUAAAUGUGGUACUAAUUACUUGAGUGUGAAGGUGAAGAUUUUUCCUGGCAAAUUUGGAACAACGGCUUAAAAAAUAGGUACUACACAGCUAAAGAGUCUUUCUUUCCAGAUUCAACUCAUGUACCUACUAUCUUGCCUUUCCCUAAGCAUAUAUAUUUAAAUUCUAGAAACCACCACAUUCACUUAUUAAAGCCAAGCAUGUGUCUAAUAUUUAUUACACUACAUUUUUACUUUUAUGAAAUACUGCUUGGAACAAAUAGUCACCCAGGACAGAGGUCCCGAACCCCUGGACCAUGGACCGGUAUUCAUCUGUGGCCUGUUCGUAACUGGGCUGCACAGCAGGAAGUGAGUGGCAAGUAAAUGAGCAUUAGUGAGAUCGGCGGCGGCAUUAGACUCUCAUAAGAGUCCUAUGGUGAACUGCACGUGCGAGGGAUCUAGGUGGUGUGCUUCUUAUGAGACUCUAAUUAAUGCCUGAUGAUUUGAGGUGGAACAGUUUUAUCCUGAAACUAUCCCCUCUGCCUGCUGGCCAUGGAAAAACUUGUCUUUCACAAAAUUGGUCCUUGAUGCUAAAAAGGCUGGAGACCACUGAUCUAGGGCAUAGCUAGUUUUUGCCAUAGCUAUGUCAUAACUAGAUGUGUUGAGACAAAAUCUCACCUGUAGAUCUGAGUUGAGCAUAUGAGCCUAUUUCAUUGUGGUAGACAAUUCUGUCUGCCGUGGUCCUCCAAAGAUAUUCACAUCCUAAUCCCCAGAAUCUGUAAAUAUGAUACCUUACAUGGCAAAAGGGAGUUUGUACACAUGAUUAAGUUAAGGAUCUUGAUGUGGGGAGAUUAUCCUGGAUUAACCAGGUGGGUUCAAUGUCAUCAGAAGGCUCCUCCUAUGAGGGAGGAAGAAAGUCAGAAAUAAGAGUAGGAGAUAUGAUGUUUGAGCAGAGGAGAGAGAAAGAGACAGAGAGAUUUGAGGAUGAUAUGCUGCUGGUUUUGUUUUGAAGAUGAACGAAGGGGCCCUGAGCCAAGGAAUGCAGGCCACCUCUAGAAGCUGGAAAAGGCAAGGAAAUGGAUUCCCCCAAGAGCCUCCGGAAGGAACACAACCAUGCCAACCCGUUUUAGACUUCUGAUCUCCUGAACUAGGCUGCCACACUCAUCUAGGGGCUGCGUCUACUAAUUGAUGCAUGCAGAACUCAUUACUGCUGAUGGAAGCAAAAACAACAAGGCUGAGUGCCUUCAAUAGGUCAGAGGUUAGACACCCUCUGGCUCAACUUUACUGGCCAGACUUCAUUAGUCAUUGAAACACAAGUGGAAAGAAGAUAAAGAUCCCUGUUAUUUGAGAGCAAAUCUUCUGAAUAUCCAUUCCAUGAAACUCAGAUACCCUCUCCAGAGCUUGUUUUCCAGUUGACAUAUGAAUGGAGACUCCGUGAGGUCUGGAACUUUGUCUGUUUUAUCCACUGUUGGGAUCUCGUGCCCAGAACAGCAUCUUGCAGAGAAAAGGCACCUAAGGAACAUUUGUGGAAUGUAUGGAUGAACAUUAGUCAUAACCAACAAACAUUUAUAUGUCUAAUAUUUAUUCCCCCAUCCCUCCUUUUUUUCUUUAGAGAUGGGGUCUUGCUGUGCUGCUCAGGCUGGACUCAAACUCCUGGGCUAAGCUGAUCUUCCCAUCUUGGCCUUCCAAGAACACAAACCCCUGGUGUGAAUUUCACUUUCUGAGGAUCUGAUAUUAGUAAAGAAGUUAAUUUGGAAAAUGUUGGCUAUCUGAAGAAGACUGACAAAUCAUGAAUGACCUAAUUGGGUCUUGCUGUGUUGCCAGUGUUGCCCAGGCUGGAGUGCAG